rnacentral:rRNA from 1 species
UACGUAGGGGGCUAGCGUUGUCCGGAUUUAUUGGGCGUAAAGAGCGUGUAGGCGGCCAUGUAGGUCCGGUGUGAAAACUCGAGGCUUAACCUCGAGAUGUCAUCGGAAACCAUUUGGCUAGAGUCCGGAAGAGGAGAGUGGAAUUCCUGGUGUAGCGGUGAAAUGCGCAGAUAUCAGGAAGAACACCAAUGGCGAAAGCAGCUCUCUGGAACGGUACUGACGCUGAGACGCGAAAGCGUGGGGAGCGAACAGG